CGGCGGACGGGUGAGUAACGCGUGGGUAACCUACCCCAAAGUCCGGGAUAACAGCGGGAAACCGCUGCUAAUACCGGAUGCCUUUACCUUGGGGCAUCUUGAGGUAAAGAAAGGCAACGCUUUGGGAUGGGCCCGCGUCCCAUUAGCUAGUUGGUGAGGUAACGGCUCACCAAGGCGACGAUGGGUAGCCGGCCUGAGAGGGUGGACGGCCACACUGGGACUGAGACACGGCCCAGACUCCUACGGGAGGCAGCAGUAGGGAAUAUUGCGCAAUGGACGGAAGUCUGACGCAGCGACGCCGCGUGAGCGAUGAAGGUCUUCGGAUCGUAAAGCUCUGUCCUUGGGGAAGAGGGCGAAAGCUUGACGGUACCCAAGAAGAAAGCCCCGGCUAACUACGUGCCAGCAGCCGCGGUAAUACGUAGGGGGCGAGCGUUGUCCGGAAUUACUGGGCGUAAA
rnacentral:rRNA from 1 species